rnacentral:rRNA from 1 species
UACAGGGGGUGCAAACGUUGCCCGGAAUUAUUGGGCGUAAAGCGCGCGUAGGCGGCUACCUAAGUCGGAUGUGAAAGCCCCUGGCUUAACUGGGGAAGUGCACCCGAAACUGGGUAGCUAGAGUGCAAAAGAGGGUCGCGGAAUUCCCGGUGUAGAGGUGAAAUUCGUAGAUAUCGGGAGGAACACCGGUGGCGAAGGCGGCGACCUGGGUUGACACUGACGCUGAGGCGCGAAAGCGUGGGGAGCAAACAGG